CAGUAUUUAGUUUAAAUUAAAAUUUGUUAUUUGGAUUGAUAGGAUUUUUACUGAG
rnacentral:tRNA from 1 species